GGUUAAGCGACUAAGCGUACACGGUGGAUGCCCUGGCAGUCAGAGGCGAUGAAGGACGUGCUAAUCUGCGAUAAGCGCCGGUAAGGUGAUAUGAACCGUUAUAACCGGCGAUUUCCGAAUGGGGAAACCCAGUGUGAUUCGUCACACUAUCAUUAACUGAAUCCAUAGGUUAAUGAGGCGAACCGGGGGAACUGAAACAUCUAAGUACCCCGAGGAAAAGAAAUCAACCGAGAUUCCCCCAGUAGCGGCGAGCGAACGGGGAGGAGCCCAGAGCCUGAAUCAGCAUGUGUGUUAGUGGAAGCGUCUGGAAAGGCGCGCGAUACAGGGUGACAGCCCCGUACACAAAAGCGCAUGUGCUGUGAGCUCGAUGAGUAGGGCGGGACACGUGGUAUCCUGUCUGAAUAUGGGGGGACCAUCCUCCAAGGCUAAAUACUCCUGACUGACCGAUAGUGAACCAGUACCGUGAGGGAAAGGCGAAAAGAACCCCGGCGAGGGGAGUGAAAAAGAACCUGAAACCGUGUACGUACAAGCAGUGGGAGCACAGGUUUACCUGUGUGACUGCGUACCUUUUGUAUAAUGGGUCAGCGACUUAUAUUCUGUAGCAAGGUUAACCGAAUAGGGGAGCCGGAGGGAAACCGAGUCUUAACCGGGCGUUAAGUUGCAGGGUAUAGACCCGAAACCCGGUGAUCUAGCCAUGGGCAGGUUGAAGGUUGGGUAACACUAACUGGAGGACCGAACCGACUAAUGUUGAAAAAUUAGCGGAUGACCUGUGGCUGGGGGUGAAAGGCCAAUCAAACCGGGAGAUAGCUGGUUCUCCCCGAAAGCUAUUUAGGUAGCGCCUCGUGAA
rnacentral:rRNA from 1 species